rnacentral:rRNA from 1 species
CUGGCGGCGUGCCUAAUACAUGCAAGUCGAACGGCUUUUCUAUGGAAGCUUGCUUCCACUGAGAAGAUAGUGGCGAACGGGUGAGUAACACGUGGGUAACCUGCCCAUAAGAGGGGGGAUAACAUCCGGAAACGGGUGCUAAUACCGCAUAGUUUUCUUGAUCGCAUGAUCGGGAAAGGAAAGACGGCCUUUGUGCUGUCGCUUAUGGAUGGACCCGCGGCGUAUUAGUUAGUUGGUGAGGUAACGGCUCACCAAGACGAUGAUACGUAGCCGACCUGAGAGGGUGAUCGGCCACAUUGGGACUGAGACACGGCCCAAACUCCUACGGGAGGCAGCAGUAGGGAAUCUUCCGCAAUGGACGAAAGUCUGACGGAGCAACGCCGCGUGAGUGAAAGAAGGUUUUCGGAUCGUAAAACUCUGUUGUCAGAGAAGAACAAGUUGGAGAGUAACUGCUCCAGCCUUGACGGUAUCUGACCAGAAAGCCACGGCUAACUACGUGCCAGCCGCCGC